AACGAACGCUGGCGGCAGGCCUAACACAUGCAAGUCGAGCGCCCUUUCGGGGGAGCGGCGGACGGGUGAGUAACGCGUGGGAAUAUGCCCUUCUCUACGGAAUAGCCUCGGGAAACUGAGAGUAAUACCGUAUACGCCCUGUGGGGGAAAGAUUUAUCGGGGAAGGAUUAGCCCGCGUUGGAUUAGGUAGUUGGUGGGGUAAUGGCCUACCAAGCCGACGAUCCAUAGCUGGUUUGAGAGGAUGAUCAGCCACACUGGGACUGAGACACGGCCCAGACUCCUACGGGAGGCAGCAGUGGGGAAUCUUAGACAAGGGGGGCAACCCUGAUCUAGCCAUGCCGCGUGAGUGAUGAAGGCCUUAGGGUUGUAAAGCUCUUUCAGCUGGGAAGAUAAUGACGGUACCAGCAGAAGAAGCCCCGGCUAACUCCGUG
rnacentral:rRNA from 1 species